rnacentral:rRNA from 1 species
AACGAACGCUGGCGGCAUGCCUAACACAUGCAAGUCGAACGAUGCCUUCGGGCAUAGUGGCGCACGGGUGCGUAACGCGUGGGAAUCUGCCCUUGGGUUCGGAAUAACUCAGAGAAAUUUGAGCUAAUACCGGAUGAUGACGUAAGUCCAAAGAUUUAUCGCCCAAGGAUGAGCCCGCGUAAGAUUAGCUAGUUGGUGGGGUAAAGGCCUACCAAGGCGACGAUCUUUAGCUGGUCUGAGAGGAUGAUCAACCACACUGGGACUGAGACACGGCCCAGACUCCUACGGGAGGCAGCAGUGGGGAAUAUUGGACAAUGGGCGAAAGCCUGAUCCAGCAAUGCCGCGUGAGUGAUGAAGGCCUUAGGGUUGUAAAGCUCUUUCAGUGGGGAAGAUAAUGACUGUACCCACAGAAGAAGCCCCGGCUAACUCCGUG